ensembl:miRNA MIR4258 microRNA 4258
ACGCCCCCCGCCCCGCCACCGCCUUGGAGGCUGACCUCUUACUUUCGGUCGGUCUUCUUCCCUGGGCUUGGUUUGGGGGCGGGGGAGUGUC